rnacentral:lncRNA from 1 species
GAAGGAUGAAACCUUGAGAUUUUGUAACGACUGUGAGCAGUUGAACAAAAUCACUACCAAGGACAGGUGUUCCCAUGCAGUAUGGAUGAUCUAUAGGAACAGCUAGUAGAAGCUGGUUGUUUUCCAUAAUAGAUCUGAGAGUCGGGAACUAUAUGUUGAAAGUUAGAGAAAAGUCAGUUUAGCAGUUGAGUGAAGAUGAGAUCUUUAUCGAUCAAAGGAGUUUAUAGUGAAGAGUCUAAAACAGAGGUAA